UACGUAGGGUGCGAGCGUUGUCCGGAAUACUGGGCGUAAAGCGUGCGCAGGCGGUUUUGUAAGUCUGUCGUGAAAAUCCCCCGGGCUCAACCUGGGAAUUGCGAUGGAGACUGCAAGGCUAGAAUCUGGCAGAGGGGGGUAGAAUUCCACGUGUAGCAGUGAAAUGCGUAGAGAUGUGGAGGAACACCGAUGGCGAAGGCAGCCCCCUGGGUCAAGAUUGACGCUCAUGCACGAAAGGCGUGGGGAGCAAACGAGGAU
rnacentral:rRNA from 1 species